rfam:Staphylococcus sp. HMSC078E07 Staphylococcus_spHMPREF2905-1.0_Cont28.1, whole genome shotgun sequence.
AUAAAUCUUUUUUUGAUUUUGUUAGUAGUUGCGAAAUUAAAAGUUGAUUUAUCGAUGAGUUGUAAGGAAUGUUUGUGUAGUUUGACUAUGUAUUUGUGAUGAUCGAGACCAAUGGGUUAUUCGAUAAUAUCGAUUUUCAUAGUGAAAUAUUUCAUUUAUUUAUUUCUUCGUGUAGUUCUAUUCAUUAAUAAGCUAUCCCAACUUAUUGAUGAAAAAUGCAUAAUACUCGCUGAAGUGUUAACUCAGUAGAAAAUAAUUAACUUAGCUAUUCUGAAUAGAAGGUAAUUAUUUUCAAUAUGCAAGCUAUCAAAACAUUGUUAUGCAAUGUAAUUUUUCAUAAUUAAUAACAUCCCCAAAAAAUUGAAAAAUAACUGUAAAUCAUUCCCUUAAUUAAAAGUCGUGAGUCUCUCCCAAGCUCACGACUUU